CGCUAGUCGAACAGCUGCAGUUUUAACAAGUUGAAGAGGGGGAGAGAAAAGAAAGUAGAAUGUAAUGUCUGCCUUCAGGAAAGAGCUGCAAUUCUUAAAUUUGGUAGACAAUAAAUGGAAACCUGUCGACAAUGCCCAACCAUGCGUUUUGCAUUUAGUCCCUAAACUGAAGAGCUUAACACUGAGUGCCGGAACAAAGCAGAUUGUACAUUAAGUUGUUUUUGAUUUCAAUAAAAUGCGCCAAGAGAUUUA